AGAGUUUGAUCCUGGCUCAGAAUCAACGUUGGCGGCGCGCCUAACACAUGCAAGUCGAACGAGAAAGGGGAGCAAUCCCUGAGUAAAGUGGCGUACGGGUGAGUAACACGUGGGUAAUCUACCCUUUGGUGGGGAAUAACGCUGGGAAACCGGCGCUAAUACCGCAUAAUUCCGCAAGGACAAAGUCGAAAGACGCCGAAGGAUGAGCCCGCGGCUGAUUAGCUAGUUGGUAGGGUAAUGGCCUACCAAGGCAAAGAUCGGUAGCCGGCCUGAGAGGGCACACGGCCACACUGGCACUGAAACACGGGCCAGACUCCUACGGGAGGCAGCAGUGGGGAAUCUUGCACAAUGGGGGAAACCCUGAUGCAGCGACGCCGCGU
rnacentral:rRNA from 1 species